UACGUAGGGUGCGAGCGUUGUCCGGAAUUAUUGGGCGUAAAGAGCUCGUAGGCGGUUUGUCGCGUCUGCUGUGAAAACUGGAGGCUCAACCUCCAGCCUGCAGUGGGUACGGGCAGACUAGAGUGCGGUAGGGGGAGAUUGGAAUUCCUGGUGUAGCGGUGGAAUGCGCAGAUAUCAGGAGGAACACCGAUGGCGAAGGCAGAUCUCUGGGCCGUAACUGACGCUGAGGAGCGAAAGCAUGGGGGAGCGAACAGG
rnacentral:rRNA from 1 species